AUACGGAGGAUGCGAGCGUUAUCCGGAUUUAUUGGGUUUAAAGGGUGCGUAGGCGGAACAAUAAGUCAGUGGUGAAAGACUGCAGCUUAACUGUAGACUUGCCGUUGAUACUGUUGAUCUUGAGUAUGGUCAAGGCAGGCGGAAUGUGUAAUGUAGCGGUGAAAUGCUUAGAUAUUACACAGAACACCGAUUGCGAAGGCAGCUUGCUGGGCCAUUACUGACGCUGAUGCACGAAAGCGUGGGGAUCGAACAGGAUUAGAUACCCUAGUAGUCCACGCAGUAAACGAUGAUCACUCGCUGUUGGCGAUACACAGUCAGCGGCUAAGCAAAAGCAUUAAGUGAUCCACCUGGGGAGUACGGCCGCAAGGCUGAA
rnacentral:rRNA from 1 species